GCUUCUGCUUGUGUUGAUACUUUUACCUCCACCAGAGGGAGACAUCAUCAAGUAGUUCAUACUCCACAUCAACACUGAGUUCAUCCAUUGGCUCAUUCUGAACUGCUGCUGAGAAGAGAAGUACUGUCACACUGACAGACUGACAAACUUCAGCUAGUUCCUCCUGUUGAUUGAAUCCUUGUUGUAGAGAUGGAGCGUUGGCUGUGGAUCAUUCUGGCUGCUCUUUUCUUUGGGUGUAAAGGAGAAGACACAGUGACCCAGCCAGCAGAGGAUGUUGUUGCUUCUGAAGGAGAUCCAGUCACACUUGGCUGUAUGUUUGAGACAACUAGAACGAAUCCCUAUUUGUUCUGGUACAAACAAGAAGUUGGUGAUUUCCCAAAGUACAUGCUGAAACUUUAUGCAGAUACAACAGAAUUUGCUCCUGGGACCGACAAAGACAGAUUUAAUGCUGCAAUCAAGGAGAAAUCAGUUCCUCUGAAGAUCCAGAAGCUUCAGCUGACUGACUCUGCUGUGUACUACUGUGCUCUGAGGCCCACAGUGACAGGAAACACCAACACUCUGUACAAAAACCUUUGGAGCAAACACAACACAAUACUCCACAACAUCCACUAGAGGGAGACAUCAUCAAGCAGGUGUUGCUCUUCCUCUGUGUUCAACCAUCCUGACAAUAAAAAGGCUGCUGUGAAGAGAACAGUGGUUCUCAAAGUGGGGUCCUGGGACCCCUGGGGGUCCUUGAACCAUAGC